AAAUUUAAAAUCUGGCCGCCUCGGUGUCCGAGUUGUAAUUUAGAGAAGUGCUACCCGSGUYYGGACCGUGUAUAAGUCUCCUGGAAUGGAGCGUCAUAGAGGGUGAGAAUCCCGUCUUUGACACGGACUACCAGGGCAUUGUGGUGUGCUCUCGAAGAGUCGAGUUGUUUGGGAAUGCAGCUCUAAAUGGGUGGUAAAUUCCAUCUAAAGCUAAAUAUUGGCGAGAGACCGAUAGCGAACAAGUACCGUGAGGGAAAGAUGAAAAGAACUUUGGAAAGAGAGUUAAACAGUACGUGAAAUUGCUGAAAGGGAAACGCUUGAAGUCAGUCGCGUUGGCCGGGGAUCAGCCUCGCUUUUUGUGAGGUGUACUUCCUGGUCGACGGGUCAGCAUCAGUUUCGACCACUGGAGAAAGGCUUGGGGAACGUGGCACCUUCGGGUGUGUUAUAGCCCCUUGUUGUAUACAGUGGUUGGGACUGAGGAACUCAGCACGCCGCAAGGCCGGGUUUCGACCACGUUCGUGCUUAGGAUGCUGGCAAAAUGGCUUUAAGCGACCCGUCUUGAAACACGGACCAAGGAGUCUAACAUGCUUGCGAGUGUUUGGGUGGAAAACCCGAGCGCGUAAUGAAAGUGAAAGUUGAGAUCCCUGUCGUGGGGAGCAUCGACGCCCGGACCUGAUGUUUACUGACGGAUCUGCGGUAGAGCACGUAUGUUGGGACCCGAAAGAUGGUGAACUAUGCCUGAAUAGGGCGAAGCCAGAGGAAACUCUGCUCCCCGCUCGUAGCGAUUCUGAAG
rnacentral:rRNA from 1 species